GAUGAACGCUGGCGGCGUGCCUAAUACAUGCAAGUCGAGCGAACGGACGAGAAGCUUGCUUCUCUGAUGUUAGCGGCGGACGGGUGAGUAACACGUGGAUAACCUACCUAUAAGACUGGGAUAACUUCGGGAAACCGGAGCUAAUACCGGAUAAUAUUUUGAACCGCAUGGUUCAAAAGUGAAAGACGGUCUUGCUGUCACUUAUAGAUGGAUCCGCGCUGCAUUAGCUAGUUGGUAAGGUAACGGCUUACCAAGGCAACGAUGCAUAGCCGACCUGUGAGGGUGAUCGGCCACACUGGAACUGAGACACGGUCCAGGCUCCUACGGUAGGCAGCAGUAGGGAAUCUUCCGCAAAGGGCGAAAGCCUUACGGAGCAACGCCGCGUGAGUUAUGAAGGUCUUCGGAUCGUAAAACUCUGUUAUUAGGGAAGAACAUAUGUGUAAGUAACUGUGCACAUCUUGACGGUACCUAAUCAGAAAGCCACGGCUAACUACGUG
rnacentral:rRNA from 1 species